CCGGCGCACGGGUGAGUAACACGUAUGCAACCUGGCCGUCACAGGUGGAUAACCGGAAGAAAUUCCGACUAAUACAGCAUAACACUCCUGAGGGACAUCCUUCGGGAGUCAAAGGAGGCAACUCCAGUGACGGAUGGGCAUGCGGCGCAUUAGGUAGUUGGUAGGGUAACGGCCUACCAAGCCGACGAUGCGUAGGGGUUCUGAGAGGAAGGUCCCCCACAUUGGAACUGAGACACGGUCCAAACUCCUACGGAAGGCAGCAG
rnacentral:rRNA from 1 species